AGUAACACUCUGGGAGGGCUCAGGCCACAUCACGAAAUGUGACAGGAUAGCCUUGAACUCAUCAAUUGCUGGGUAAGAAAGAAUUUUAAUGCAAUGGCAAACAACCAAUCAAACAAGCAAACAAAAACAAUAAACCCUUCCUUGAGGACCAAGAAGACAUUGAUUAGCUAACCUAAGAGCUCCAGGUGGAGACCUAGGUCCUGAUUGGGUUUCUGAAUUUGACCACUAGGCAGAAAACUAGCACCCAAAACCAGUUGGAAUAAAAUUACCCACCUACAGUGGAGCCAAGGCCCCCAGAUCCUUUUUGUCAGGGGCACCUCAAACUCAACUCCAAAAUUGAUCUAAUGAACUUUCCCAAACCACAUUCCCUUCUUGCAUUUCUGAGAGAAUGGAUUCCCAUUCAUCUGACUACAGUGCUACCCUGAAAGCAGAUCCAGAGACUAAGAUUCACCUGCAGGUGAUUCAUUUGCAAGGUAAGCUGUCAUCAGUUGGAGGUAAGCAGAAGACAGUAGAGAGUACAGAGCCCUGGACUGUGACUCAGAGGAUGAGCACCAGAUCCAGUUUGCUGUGCCACAGUGGGCCUGUGAUAUUUUGAAGCAGGAAGCUGACCUGAGACCUUCAGAAUAAACUGAUCACUGUGGAUAAUGAAAAGGCCCCACCCAGGACAUUGAUUGAGCACCCCUGCCUGUCUCAUUCCUUCUUCUCUUUCUUUUUAUUAUGUGCUUACCAUAAUAAAAAUUUUUAUUGUC
rnacentral:lncRNA from 1 species